rnacentral:rRNA from 1 species
GAGACUCAGUGAAAUUGAACUCGCUGUGAAGAUGCAGUGUACCCGCGGCAAGACGGAAAGACCCCGUGAACCUUUACUAUAGCUUGACACUGAACAUUGAGCCUUGAUGUGUAGGAUAGGUGGGAGGCUUUGAAGUGUGGACGCCAGUCUGCAUGGAGCCGGCCUUGAAAUACCACCCUUUAAUGUUUGAUGUUCUAACGUGGACCCGUGAUCCGGGUUGCGGACAGUGUCUGGUGGGUAGUUUGACUGGGGCGGUCUCCUCCUAAAGAGUAACGGAGGAGCACGAAGGUUGGCUAAUCCUGGUCGGACAUCAGGAGGUUAGUGCAAUGGCAUAAGCCAGCUUGACUGCGAGCGUGACGGCGCGAGCAGGUGCGAAAGCAGGUCAUAGUGAUCCGGUGGUUCUGAAUGGAAGGGCCAUCGCUCAACGGAUAAAAGGUACUCCGGGGAUAACAGGCUGAUACCGCCCAAGAGUUCAUAUCGACGGCGGUGUUUGGCACCUCGAUGUCGGCUCAUCACAUCCUGGGGCUGAAGUAGGUCCCAAGGGUAUGGCUGUUCGCCAUUUAAAGUGGUACGCGAGCUGGGUUUAGAACGUCGUGAGACAGUUCGGUCCCUAUCUGCCGUGGGCGCUGGAGAACUGAGGGGGGCUGCUCCUAGUACGAGAGGACCGGAGUGGACGCAUCACUGGUGUUCGGGUUGUCAUGCCAAUGGCACUGCCCGGUAGCUAAAUGCGGAAGAGAUAAGUGCUGAAAGCAUCUAAGCACGAAACUUGCCCCGAGAUGAGUUCUCCCUGACCCUUUAAGGGUCCUGAAGGAACGUUGAAGACGACGACGUUGAUAGGCCGGGUGUGUAAGCGCAGCGAUGCGUUGAGCUAACCGGUACUAAUGAACCGUGAGGCUUAACCUUACAACGCCGAAG